GCCCAGUGACAAUUCAACGGCCACGGUACCCUAACCGUGCAAAGGUAGCAUAAUCACUUGUUCUUUAAAUAAGGACUAGUAUCAACGGCAUCACGAGGGUCACACUGUCUCCUUCCCCUAAUCAGUGAAACUGAUCUCCCCGUGAAGAAGCGGGAAUAAACCUAUAAGACGAGAAGACCCCAUGGAGCUUUAAACUUUCAGCAACUAAACCACACACCCCCCUAUAUUAUAAAAUUAUGCUUAACAGUCUUAGAUUGGGGCGAUCGCGGAGUAAAAAUCAACCUCCAUGACGAAAAGAACUAAAUCUUUAUCCAAGAUCCACUACUCUAAGAAUUAGAACACUAACGCUCAUGACCCGAUAAACGAUCAACGAACCAAGUUACCCUGGGGAUAACAGCGCAAUCUACUUCAAGAGCUCAUAUCGACAAGUAGGUUUACGACCUCGAUGUUGGAUCAGGGCAUCCUAGUGGUGCAGUCGCUACUAACGGUUCGUUUGUUCAACGAUUAAAG
rnacentral:rRNA from 1 species